rnacentral:tRNA from 1 species
GGGAACGUAGCUCAGCUGGAUAGAGCACUGCCCUCCGGAGGCAGGGGUCGUGGGUUCAAAUCCCGCCGUUCUCA